UGACGCUGGCGGCAGGCCUAAGACAUGCAAGUCGAGCGAGAAAGCCCUUCGGGGUGAGUAAAGCGGCGGACGGGUGAGUAACGCGUAGGAAUCUACCCAGUAGUGGGGGACAACUAGUGGAAACGCUAGCUAAUACCGCAUACGCCCUACGGGGGAAAGCGGGGGACCUUCGGGCCUCGUGCUAUUGGAUGAGCCUGCGUAAGAUUAGCUUGUUGGUGAGGUAAUGGCUCACCAAGGCGACGAUCUUUAGCUGGUCUGAGAGGAUGAUCAGCCACACCGGGACUGAGACACGGCCCGGACUCCUACGGGAGGCAGCAGUCGGGAAUAUUGCGCAAUGGGCGAAAGCCUGACGCAGCCAUGCCGCGUGUGUGAAGAAGGCCCUAGGGUUGUAAAGCACUUUCAAUUGGGAGGAAAAGCUAAUGGUUAAUAACCAUUAGCCCUGACGUUACCUUUAGAAGAAGCACCGGCUAACUCCGUGCCAGCAGCCGCGGUAAUACGGAGGGUGCAAGCGUUAAUCGGAAUUACUGGGCGUAAAGCGCGCGUAGGCGGUUUUUUAAGUCGGAUGUGAAAGCCCCGGGCUCAACCUGGGAACUGCAUCCGAUACUGGACAACUAGAAUGCGGGAGAGGGAGGUAGAAUUCCAUGUGUAGCAGUGAAAUGCGUAGAUAUAUGGAGGAAUACCAGUGGCGAAGGCGGCCUCCUGGCUCGACAUUGACGCUGAGGUGCGAAAGCGUGGGGAGCAAACGGGAUUAGAUACCCCGGUAGUCCACGCCGUAAACGAUGUCUACUAGCUGUAGGGGUACUUGAGACCUUUGUAGCGCAGCUAACGCAAUAAGUAGACCGCCUGGGGAGUACGGCCGCAAGGUUAAACUUAAA
rnacentral:rRNA from 1 species